AAAUGGUUGGACUCUUUUUAAGUUAGAGACAAUUUGGUACAACUUAAAUUGGCUUAACCCUACCGCACUUACCGAACUAGACAAUGGUGCGAUAGGGGUAAAUUCUCCGCAUUCGGUGCG
rfam:Human echovirus 9 isolate DM, complete genome.